GAUGAACGCUGACAGAAUGCUUAACACAUGCAAGUCAACUUGAACUUCGGUUUGGGUGGCGGACGGGUGAGUAACGCGUAAAGAACUUGCCUCACAGCUAGGGACAACAUUUGGAAACGAAUGCUAAUACCUGAUAUUAUGAUUUUAGGGCAUCCUAGAAUUAUGAAAGCUAUAUGCGCUGUGAGAGAGCUUUGCGUCCCAUUAGCUAGUUGGAGAGGUAACGGCUCACCAAGGCGAUGAUGGGUAGCCGGCCUGAGAGGGUGAACGGCCACAAGGGGACUGAGACACGGCCCUUACUCCUACGGGAGGCAGCAGUGGGGAAUAUUGGACAAUGGACCAAGAGUCUGAUCCAGCAAUUCUGUGUGCACGAUGAAGUUUUUCGGAAUGUAAAGUGCUUUCAGUUGGGAAGAAAAAAAUGACGGUACCAACAGAAGAAGAGACGGCUAAAUACGUG
rnacentral:rRNA from 1 species